GCAGAUUGUUCAUAGACACGGGGCAGCUCCUCCGAGGCCAGAAGAGUCUGCAGGGAUACCAGAAAAGUCGUUACAGAUUACAGUGUUUUAAAACCAGUUGAAUAAGUUGUCAACAUUUAAAUAUUAGGAGAGUUCAAAUAAAAAUCUUGACAAUUUGGAAGAUCUGGCAACACUGGAUCCACAGUCCCACAUGACGAUGAUGGGCUCCAGUUCUGUGUGGUCCACUUACUUUGGUGCACUGACUCGGUCAUCUUAUCGACUCCUCACAUUAAUUCUGUGAGACUUUUGAAGAUCAUAAAAGUUCUCGGUGGGUUAUUUUCAGGCUAGUGAUGCCAGACAUGAUGGCAGACUUGGAAAAAAUAACAGAAGACAUAAUCUCUGACCUCAGAGAGCUUAUAGUUUAGAGCUGAAGACAGAAAACAAGAAGAGCAACCAACCAACAAAAGCCACUGAUUAAGUGCCACAACCCAGCAAAUACAAGAUGCUGUAGGGAUGCACCAAAAAUGGCACUUACCUUGACCUUAGCAUCCACCUCGUUUAUACAGACCGGAUUCAU